UGUCCUCAUUGCUCCUGCUUUUACCUGCUUCAUACAGUUUAUCUUAGGGAGGACCUGGCAUUGUCUCAAAAAGGGAUGUGAGUCCCCAGUGUCUCAAAAUGGGAUGUGAAUCCCCACAAUGUCCCCAGAUGAGAUGUCAUCUGGUUUGAUACCACUAUCUUCACAGAGCCCACUGCAGUGGGUUUCACUUGCUAGCCUGAAUCCAAGCC